rnacentral:rRNA from 1 species
AUUGAACGCUGGCGGCAUGCCUUACACAUGCAAGUCGAACGGCAGCACGGGAGCAAUCCUGGUGGCGGGUGGCGAACGGGUGAGUAAUGUAUCGGAACGUGCCCAGUCGUGGGGGAUAACGUAGCGAAAGCUACGCUAAUACCGCAUACGAUCUAUGGAUGAAAGCGGGGGAUCGCAAGACCUCGCGCGAUUGGAGCGGCCGAUAUCCGAUUAGGUAGUUGGUGGGGUAAAGGCUCACCAAGCCGACGAUCUGUAGCUGGUCUGGGAGGACGACCAGCCAGACUGGGACUGAGACACGGCCCAGACUCCUACGGGAGGCAGCAGUGGGGAAUUUUGGACAAUGGGCGCAAGCCUGAUCCAGCAAUGCCGCGUGCAGGAUGAAGGCCUUCGGGUUGUAAACUGCUUUUGUACGGAACGAAACGGCGAGCUCUAAUACAGCUUGCUAAUGACGGUACCGUAAGAAUAAGCACCGGCUAACUACGUGCCAGCCGCCGCAGUAA